UACGUAGGGGGCAAGCGUUGUCCGGAUUUAUUGGGCGUAAAGAGCGUGUAGGCGGCCAGAUAGGUCCGUUGUGAAAACUGGAGGCUUAACCUCCAGCGGUCGGUGGAAACCAUUUGGCUAGAGUCCGGAAGAGGAGAGUGGAAUUCCUGGUGUAGCGGUGAAAUGCGCAGAUAUCAGGAAGAACACCCGUGGCGAAGGCGGCUCUCUGGGACGGUACUGACGCUGAGACGCGAAAGCGUGGGGAUCAAACAGG
rnacentral:rRNA from 1 species